rnacentral:tRNA from 1 species
AUUUAAAUAAUUUAAUUAAAAUAUUGAUUUGUGGGGUCAAAAAUAUGAAUGAUUCAUUUUAAGUU